UAAGGAAUAUUGCUCAAUGGGAGAAAUCCUGAAGCAGCAACGCCGCGUGGAGGAUGAAGGGUCUAUGACUUGUAAACUCCUGUAAAGAAGGAAAAAAUUCCCAUUUGAUGGGAGAUGAUGGUACUUCUGGAGUAAGCCCCGGCUAACUACGUGCCAGCAGCCGCGGUAAUACGUAGGGGGCAAGCGUUGUCCGGAUUUACUGGGUGUAAAGGGUGCUCAGGCGGAUUUGUAAGUCAGAGGUGAAAUCUUACAGCUUAACUGUGAAACUGCCUUUGAUACUGCAGGCCUAGAGUAUGGAAGAGAGUGAUGGAAUAUCUGGUGUAGCAGUGAAAUGCGUAGAUAUCAGAUAGAACACCAAUGGCGAAGGCAGUCACUUGGUCCAUUACUGACGCUAAAGCACGAAAGCGUGGGUAGCAAACA
rnacentral:rRNA from 1 species